rnacentral:misc_RNA from 1 species
GCAGGAAUUGGAUACCGGAGCUAUCUCCACUGGCUAAUGUGAUUGUUCGUAGAUGCUCAAAAAUCCUUGGCAUCUCGGCAACUGAGCUGCAGGAAAGCUUCCUUCAAUCUGAAGGCUUCUGAUUCAAUAAAGCAUCCAUGCCGGUAUGCAAGGAACUUUUUGGAAUACUGCUGCUUCAGAGCACUGGCUCUAUCCAUUCAAUUAACG